rnacentral:piRNA from 1 species
UGGGUCACGAACAUUUCCCAGGGCU